GAUGAACGCUGGCGGCGUGCCUAAUACAUGCAAGUCGAGCGAACGGACGAGAAGCUUGCUUCUCUGAUGUUAGCGGCGGACGGGUGAGUAACACGUGGAUAACCUACCUAUAAGACUGGGAUAACUUCGGGAAACCGGAGCUAAUACCGGAUAAUAUUUUGAACCGCAUGGUUCAAAAGUGAAAGACGGUCUUGCUGUCACUUAUAGAUGGAUCCGCGCUGCAUUAGCUAGUUGGUAAGGUAACGGCUUACCAAGGCAACGAUGCAUAGCCGACCUGAGAGGGUGAUCGGCCACACUGGAACUGAGACACGGCCCAGACUCCUACGGGAGGCAGCAGUAGGGAAUCUUCCGCAAUGGGCGAAAGCCUGACGGAGCAACGCCGCGUGGGUGAUGAAGGUCUUCGGAUCGUAAAACUCUGUUAUUAGGGAAGAACAUAUGUGUAAGUAACUGUGCACAUCUUGACGGUACCUAAUCAGAAAGCCACGGCUAACUACGUG
rnacentral:rRNA from 1 species